rnacentral:rRNA from 1 species
CCUACGGGAGGCUGCAGUGAGGAAUAUUGGUCAAUGGACGAGAGUCUGAACCAGCCAAGUAGCGUGAAGGAUGACUGCCCUAUGGGUUGUAAACUUCUUUUAUAUGGGAAUAAAACGUUCCACGUGUGGGAUUUUGUAUGUACCAUAUGAAUAAGGAUCGGCUAACUCCGUGCCAGCAGCCGCGGUAAUACGGAGGAUCCGAGCGUUAUCCGGAUUUAUUGGGUUUAAAGGGAGCGUAGGUGGAUUGUUAAGUCAGUUGUGAAAGUUUGCGGCUCAACCGUAAAAUUGCAGUUGAAACUGGCAGUCUUGAGUACAGUAGAGGUGGGCGGAAUUCGUGGUGUAGCGGUGAAAUGCUUAGAGAUCACGAAGAACUCCGAUUGCGAAGGCAGUUCACUGGACUGCAACUGACACUGAGGCUCGAAAGUGUGGGUAUCAAACAGGAUUAGAUACCCCAGUAGUC